rnacentral:rRNA from 1 species
CAGCCGCCACGGUAAUACGGAGGGUGCAAGCGUUAUCCGGAUUUAUUGGGUUUAAAGGGUCCGUAGGCGGAUCUGUAAGUCAGUGGUGAAAUCUCACAGCUUAACUGUGAAACUGCCAUUGAUACUGCAGGUCUUGAGUAAAUUUGAAGUGGCUGGAAUAAGUAGUGUAGCGGUGAAAUGCAUAGAUAUUACUUAGAACACCAAUUGCGAAGGCAGGUCACUAAGAUUUAACUGACGCUGAUGGACGAAAGCGUGGGGAGCGAACAGGAUUAGAUACCCGGGUAGUCCCUGUCUCUUAUAC